rnacentral:rRNA from 1 species
CUGGCGGCGUGCUUAACACAUGCAAGUCGAACGGUGAAGGGAAGCUUGCUUCCCGGAUCAGUGGCGAACGGGUGAGUAACACGUGGGCAAUCUGCCCCAGACUUUGGGAUAACUACUCGAAAGAGUAGCUAAUACCGAAUAUUCAGCCUUGCAGGCAUCUGCGAGGCUGGAAAGUUUCUCGGUCUGGGAUGAGCCCGCGGCCUAUCAGCUAGUUGGUGAGGUAAUGGCUCACCAAGGCGACGACGGGUAGCCGGCCUGAGAGGGCGACCGGCCACACUGGGACUGAGACACGGCCCAGACUCCUACGGGAGGCAGCAGUGGGGAAUAUUGCGCAAUGGGCGAAAGCCUGACGCAGCAACGCCGCGUGCGGGAUGAAGGCCUUCGGGUUGUAAACCGCUUUCAGCAGGGAAGAAGCGAAAGUGACGGUACCUGCAGAAGAAGCACCGGCUAACUACGUG